rnacentral:tRNA from 1 species
GGGAGUAGUUGGAUCUCUGGUGAGGCCCGCGGACUUCAAAUCCGUUGGGAGGCGAGUUCCGUCUCCGGUGGGUUCGAUUCCCACAUACUCCC